rnacentral:rRNA from 1 species
CCGGUGUGUGAAGAAGGCCUUGGGUUGUAAAGCACUUUAAGCGACGAGGAUGUACUGGAUUAUACUCUGGGAUAAUGGACGUUACCCGCAGAAUUAAGCACCGGCUAACUCUGUGCCAGCAGCCGCGGUAAUACAGAGGGUGCGAGCGUUAAUCGGAUUUACUGGGCGUAAAGCGUGCGUAGGCGGCUUUUUAAGUCGGAUGUGAAAUCCCCGAGCUUAACUUGGGAAUUGCAUUCGAUACUGGGAAGCUAGAGUAUGGGAGAGGAUGGUAGAAUUCCAGGUGUAGCGGUGAAAUGCGUAGAGAUCUGGAGGAAUACCGAUGGCGAAGGCAGCCAUCUGGCCUAAUACUGACGCUGAGGUACGAAAGCAUGGGGAGCAAACAGGAUUAGAUACCCUGGUAGUCCAUGCCGUAAACGAUGUCUACUAGCCGUUGGGGCCUUUGAGGCUUUAGUGGCGCAGCUAACGCGAUAAGUAGACCGCCUGGGGAGUACCGGUCGCAAGACUAAAACUCAAAUGAAUUGACGGGGGCCCGCACAAGCGGUGGAGCAUGUGGUUUAAU